rnacentral:sRNA from 1 species
CGUCAUUUUAUCUCAAUUAUAACUAUCAACAACGGAUCUCUUGGCUCUCACAUCGAUGAAGAACGCAGCGAACCGCGAUAUUUUUUGUGACUUGCAGAUGUGAAUCAUCAAUCUUUGAACGCACAUUGCGCGGUAUGGCAUUCCGUACCGCACGGAUGGAGGAGCGUGUUCCCUCUGGGAUCGCAUUGCUUUCUUGAAAUGGAUUUUUUUAAACUCUCAAUUAUUACGUCAUUUCACCUCCUUCAUCCGAGAUUACCCGCUGAACUUAAGCAUAUCAAUAAGCGGAGGAAAAGAAACCAACAGGGAUUGCCUCAGUAACGGCGAGUGAAGCGGCAAAAGCUCAAAUUUGAAACCCUCGGGAUUGUAAUUUGAAGAUUUGGCAUUGGAGAAAGCUAACCCAAGUUGCUUGGAAUAGUACGUCAUAGAGGGUGACAACCCCGUCUGGCUAACCGUUCUCCAUGUAUUGCCUUAUCAAAGAGUCGAGUUGUUUGGGAAUGCAGCUCAAAGUGGGUGGUAAACUCCAUCUAAAGCUAAAUACUGGUGAGAGACCGAUAGCGAACAAGUACUGUGAAGGAAAGGUGAAAAGAACUUUGAAAAGAGAGUGAAAUAGUAUGUGAAAUUGUUGAUAGGGAAGGAAAUGAGUGGAGAGUGGCCGAGGUUUCAGCCGCCCCUCGUGGGCGGUGUACUGCCGACGCCGAGUCAUCGAUAGCGAGACGAGGGUUACAAAUGGGAGCGCCUUCGGGCGUUCUCCCCUAACCCUCCACACUG